UACAGAGGUCUCAAGCGUUGUUCGGAUUCAUUGGGCGUAAAGGGUGCGUAGGCGGCGCGCUAAGUCGGGUGUGAAAUUUCGGAGCUUAACUCCGAAACUGCAUUCGAUACUGCCGUGCUUGAGGACUGGAGAGGAGACUGGAAUUUACGGUGUAGCGGUGAAAUGCGUAGAUAUCGUAAGGAAGACCAGUGGCGAAGGCAGGUCUCUGGGCCGAUACUGACGCUGAGGAGCGAAAGCGUGGGGAGCGAACAGG
rnacentral:rRNA from 1 species